CACCACGCCACCCACCUCAGUGGCACAAAGGCCCCACGAGCCAAAUCAUAGGUAGUGCCUCUCAUAGCCACUUGGCAAGUAGUCAGGGCUUCACCUGUCACCAACAUAAGCUAGUUAAUACAAUUUCGCCAGUAGGCACUAUCCUAGUAAGCUGGGUCACUACUGUUCUAUACAGUACCAUACUAACCUUGUCCAUCUGCCUCACUUCCGUAGCAUGUCUAACGCUUCUACACAAGGAGAUGAUCUGUCAGUUGUCAGCACCCCACUCAGAUCAGGCUCGCAAAGA